rnacentral:lncRNA from 1 species
GCAUGCUAAACGAGACAAAGAAAAAUCUUUUUGAUGUUUUUUGAGAAAAUGAGUGCGAAAGGUAAAAAAGUCCUUUUGAAUUUUGGAAUUGUGAAAAAUAAAAGCCAUAAAAAAAAACUAUAAAAACUAUGAAACUCUUUUUUUUUCUUGUUUUUUUUUCAUCACCCACACACUUUACUUCUAACACAUGUUUUUCCCAAAUCAG